CUCUCCCAUCCUUAUUACUACAACUACUACUAAAUUGUUCUGAGAUAUACAGGGUGUUUACAAAAGGCAUUGUUCCUUUUAUGUUGUUACUUUCCUACUCACAUUGGCAAUACCGCUGCCACGACAACGGAGGGGAGCGCGCGACCAGGUAAUCCCGUGCAGCUCGAUCAAAAAAAGACGACGACAUUCACUUUUUCACGUGCACGACUCGACGGCAGAAUGUAACGCCAUCACCUUUUCCUUUUUUUUAACUGUAUUUACAUUUUAACGUGUUUGGCAAUAAAUAUUUGUUUAUGUACGUGAAAUUCUAAUCAUUUGCACGCCACACACUACAUAUAUUGAUCCUUCGUCGCUGGAUUGCCUACUAUUUGCCGUUUUACAAACCACUUUGGGUUUUUUUACACGGAGCUUGACCCCAUUACGCUGCAAUUUUCGCUGCAAGGAAAGGAAAUACCGGCCCGCAAGAAGCAAGAGUUUCUGGAAGUUCGCCGCUGUUCACUGCAAAUAAAGAGCCUAUUCUGGAGGUAAAAGAUGAACAAUAUAAUGCGGAGCAAGGAGACGUACGCGCACAAGGGAGAAUUAAAACGGAUAGGAUUAAAAAUGAGUUGUAUUUACAUAAUACAUAUUAGAUUAAAUUUUUUCUAUUAUGUAAAUAAAUACAUAUUUGCAUUUGCUUAUUUAAAAAUAUA